rnacentral:rRNA from 1 species
GUCCACGCCGUAAACGAUGGAUACUAGCUGUUGGGAGCAAUUUCAGUGGCUAAGCGAAAGUGAUAAGUAUCCCACCUGGGGAGUACGGGCGCAAGCCUGAAACUCAAAGGAAUUGACGGGGGCCCCGCACAAGCGGUGGAGCAUGUGGUUUAAUUCGAUGAUACGCGAGGAACCUUACCAAGGCUUAAAUGUAGUUUGACCGAUUUGGAAACAGAUCUUUCGCAAGACAAAUUACAAGGUGCUGCAUGGUUGUCGU